GGUUUGUGGCUCAUUGGUAGAGCACUCGCCUAGCACAUGCGAGGCCCUGGGUUUGAUCCUCACCACCA
rnacentral:tRNA from 1 species